rnacentral:lncRNA from 1 species
AUUUUCAGGUUUCUGAAGAGAGGUGCUCUGAAACAAGAUUUUUGUAAGCGCUUCUUUCAAGUUUCAAUAAAUUUCUAUUUUCAUCCCUCUUCUAUCUCUUUACCGAUCCUGUGCGGCUCUACCGCCGCUUCAGUUUCUUUGUUUAUGAAAACCUGUGAUUUGUAAGCCGGUCUCCGAUGUACCCUUGACAUCUGUUUUACAAGUUUAUAUUUUCAUUUCCAUUUAUCAUACUGCAUUCUUACUUCCUAUCUGUCCGUUUGAUCUUAUUCCGCUGACCUCUCUCUCUCUCUCUCUCUCUCUCUCUCUCUCUCUAUAUAUAUAUAUAUAUAUAUAUAUAUAUAUAUAUAUAUACACACACACAUUUUAUUAAUUAAGGAAAAAGACUUAUAAUUCCACUUUAGCUUUAUCUAGUUUAAAUUUUUUGAAACUUUUUUUUUAAAAACAAAUAUUAGAUUAAAUUCUUUUUUUAAAAUAAAUAAAUUUGAUCCUGUGGCCAGUUGUGGUUUUUUUACUCAAAACAUUCGACAUAUUAUUUUCAAUCUAAAUAUAAGGAUACUUAAGUUGAAAUUGGGAAAUGAAAUAAUUUUAAAGAUUAAAAGUGAGAAAUUUAGUGAAAAUUUGAUAAAAUAAUAAGAUACAAGAUAAAGUUUUUUUUAACAGGUUUGACAAAGAAAUCAAAAUAAUAUAUAUAUAUAUAUAUAUAUAUAUAUAUUAAAAGGCAAUUUGAAAAAUAUAUUGCAUAAGUACUGAACGAAUAAGAACAAUAAAUUACAAACACAUAAUAACAACAAUAAUAAUAAUAAUAAGUCACAAUCUAUUAUUAACGUCCAAAUAUAUUUGUCACACUUUAUAUACUUUCGGGAAUUAAAUUUUACAUUUUCAUCUUUCAGGGACGCAUUUAUCAGUUGAACGAGAAGACGAAUAAUCAAAAAAAUAUUAUGACAAAUAUGUCUCUAUACUGACAAUUCACGUUAACAAUCAUUUCAGUGACAAAUUUGUCCCUUUGUGCCACAUAGGCUAUUUUAUUAACGGUGACAGACGGAAGUUAACGGUCGGAUAUAUUUGUCGCACUUUUUACACUUUUAUGACUAAAUUUUAUAUUUUUAUCUUUUAGGGACAUAUUUGUCACCAAAUUACACAUUGAGAGACAAAAGUAACUAUUUAUCUUAUAAAAUAUUUGAUCAAAUUCGAUCCAGGCAAAUAUUCUAUGAAUAAUUAGGUGAGUUCAUGUUUUUUCUUUCUAGAGGUGCAUACCUCAACACAUAAGCUGUUUGAAGAACAUAUUAAUUAGUUUUAUAAGUUAUAUCUAAAUCUUUAACUAUCGGCUAGCACUGUGAACUCCC